GACGAACGCUGGCGGCGUGCUUAACACAUGCAAGUCGAACGAAGUGGCGAACGGGUGAGUAACGCGUAAUAAACCUGCCCUCCAGAGGGGGACAACAGUCGGAAACGACUGCUAAUACCGCAUACUGAAGGAGGGGAUUGCGUCGGAUUAGAUAGUUGGAGGGGCAACGGCCCACCAAGGCGAUGAUCAGGAGGCGGUCUGGGAUGAGGAACGGGCACAAUGGGGCUUGGACACGGCCCAGACUCCUACGGGAGGCAGCAGGGGGGGAUCUUCCGCAAAGGACGAAAGUCUGGCGGAGCAACGCCGCGUGAGUGGUGACGGCCUUCGGGUUGGAAAGCUCUGUUAGUCGGGACGCGGUACCGAAAUAGAAAGCCACGGCUAACUACGUGCCAGCCGCCGCGGUAAUUC
rnacentral:rRNA from 1 species